rnacentral:misc_RNA from 1 species
GAUGAAGAACGUAGCGAAAUGCGAUACAUGGUGUGAAUUGCAGAAUCCCGUGAACCAUCGAGUCUUUGAACGCAAGUUGCGCCCGAAGCCAUUAGGCCGAGGGCACGCCUGCCUGGGCGUCACACGUCGUUGCCCCCCCAUCUACUCCUUCGGGAUUGCGGGGGGCGGAUGAUGGCCUCCCGUGCGCCUCGCCGCGCGGUUGGCAUAAAUGCCAAGUCCUCGGCGACGCACGCCACGACAAUCGGUGGUUGCGAAACCUCGGUUGCCCGUCGUGUGCGGUCGUCGCGCAUCGAGGGCUCGAAAAAAUUGCCGGGUUCCGGCUCGGCUUUCAACGCGACCCCAGGUCAGGCGGGGUUACCCGCUGAAUUUAAGCAUAUCAAUAAGCGGAGGA